rnacentral:rRNA from 1 species
GCCUACAACAUAGUGUUAAUGCAUUGGAUCCCAUUAUAACUCCGCAAUUAAGCGCACUCAGGCUAGAGUAGUACUAGGAUGGGUGACCGCCUGAGAAGUCCUAGUAUUUUAUAUGCC